rnacentral:rRNA from 1 species
GUCUUCGGCCAUACCAGCCUGAACGCGCCCGAUCUCGUCUGAUCUCGGAAGCUAAGAAGGGUCGGGCCUGGUUAGUACUUGGAUGGGAGAAAUGAUUUGGAUAGUUGGGAAAAAUGGGUGGAAAAUG